ACACAUCAUAGAUAUAUAUGAUUUGCAACAGUCACGACACAUAUAAGCAGUCCACAAUAAUAGUAUCACCCAUGGAGUAGAUACACAAACAGAUCAAACAAGAGACUCACAGGGCGUAUCGAAAUAACGAGCAAAAUAUGAUGACACAUAUGAAAAAGUGGAAUCGGGAUCAAAUAACACAAAUGCAUCUCUGUGGCAAAUUGAGAUAAUUCCUGUAAUCACAACAUCUUAAGCAAUAGCAUCGGGUCUAGCUGGGAGUGCAUAGAAAUGGGCCUAACCACCACCUGAUCGAC
rnacentral:lncRNA from 1 species